rnacentral:rRNA from 1 species
GACGAGUGGCGGACGGGUGAGUAAUGCUUGGGAACUUGCCUUUGCGAGGGGGAUAACAGUUGGAAACGACUGCUAAUACCGCAUAAUGUCUUCGGACCAAACGGGGCUUCGGCUCCGGCGCAAAGAGAGGCCCAAGUGAGAUUAGCUAGUUGGUAAGGUAACGGCUUACCAAGGCGACGAUCUCUAGCUGUUCUGAGAGGAAGAUCAGCCACACUGGGACUGAGACACGGCCCAGACUCCUACGGGAGGCAGCAGUGGGGAAUAUUGCACAAUGGGGGAAACCCUGAUGCAGCCAUGCCGCGUGUGUGAAGAAGGCCUUCGGGUUGUAAAGCACUUUCAGUUGUGAGGAAAAGUUAGUAGUUAAUACCUGCUAGCCGUGACGUUAACAACAGAAGAAGCACCGGCUAACUCCGUGCCAGCAGCCGCGGUAAUACGGAGGGUGCGAGCGUUAAUCGGAAUUACUGGGCGUAAAGCGCACGCAGGCGGUUUGUUAAGCUAGAUGUGAAAGCCCCGGGCUCAACCUGGGAUGGUCAUUUAGAACUGGCAGACUAGAGUCUUGGAGAGGGGAGUGGAAUUCCAGGUGUAGCGGUGAAAUGCGUAGAUAUCUGGAGGAACAUCAGUGGCGAAGGCGACUCCCUGGCCAAAGACUGACGCUCAUGUGC